rnacentral:rRNA from 1 species
AUUGAACGCUGGCGGCAGGCCUAACACAUGCAAGUCGAGCGGAUGAAGGGAGCUUGCUCCUGUAUUCAGCGGCGGACGGGUGAGUAAUUCCUAGGAAUCUGCCUGGUAGUGGGGGAUAACGUCCGGAAACGGGCGCUAAUACCGCAUACGUCCUUAGGGUGAAAGUGGGGGUUCUUCUGACCUCACGCUAUCAGAUGAUCCUAGGUCGGAUUAGCUAGUUGGUGGGGUAAGGGCCUACCAAGGCCACGAUCCGUAACUGGUGUGAGAGGAUGAUCAGUCACACUGGAACUGAGACACGGUACAGACUCCUACGGGAGGCAGCAGUGGGGAAUAUUGGACAAUGGGCGAAAGCAUGAUACAGACAUGCCGCGUGUGUGAAGAAGGUCUUCGGAUUGUAAAGCACUUUAAGUUGGGAGGAAGGGAAGUAAGUUAAUACAUUGCUGUUUUGACGUUACCAACAGAAUAAGCACCGGCUAACUUCGUG